GCCUCACUGACUGCAUCAUGGUCGAAACCCCGCCACUUCCUUUCGUUGCUAUGGACUACAGAGACUGUGUGCAUGUGCGGAGUGCCGUCAAGGCUCCCGUCUGUGUGGCCUGGCAGUUUAAAGUCGUCCCGGUCGGAGCGCCUGCUGCUGCUGUCACAGCUAUUAAAGAAGCCAUCAUAUGAUUUUCCUAUGUGCCAUCGUGAGUAUUAUGUCAUCAGAUCACGGAGCUGAGUGCUUCCUUGUGUUUCUUUUAUUUGACCAAUGCCUGACUGCGUUGGUUGCUGUUUUAUUAUUGUUAUUAUUAUUAUGAUUAUUAUAAUUAUUAUAAUUAUUGUUAUUAUUAUUAUUAUUGGCCAGUCUUUUUAACUUCAAAUAAAAGUUAUUUUUGUAUAACCCAUGCCUCUUGC
ensembl:lncRNA